rnacentral:lncRNA from 1 species
GGGACUGUUGGAGGUAUGCCCUAGAGGCAAUCAUAGAGAUGAUGAUAUUCCAUUUGUAUCCAUGAUUUGUAUGUUGUGUUCAUUGAAUAUCUAUUGAAGGCUACUUGAAUUGAUUUGCAAUUAUGUGAAUUGUAUGUGAAACUCUUUACUUGUAUGGUUAUUCUAAAGUUGUCCCUAGUCGGAGUUCAUGUGAGAACACACAUGAAUAUUAGACUAGCACAUGUAUUAGUUGAUGACUAUGUUUCACAAGUCAUGGACAUGGAGAUGUUGAACUAAUAAUGUGGACACAUGUGGAGACAUGUGUUAGGACUGACCCAACACGAGAAGUAGUUCUCUCUUUAAACAACAUAUACGCUUUGUCCUUAGACCUGAGAUUGUUG